rnacentral:rRNA from 1 species
UACGAACCUUGCGAACGUUGUUCGGAAUCACUGGGCUUAAAGGGCGCGUAGGCGGUUUGCCAAGUCAGGGGUGAAAUCCUGCAGCUCAACUGUAGAAGUGCCUUUGAUACUGGCGAACUCGAGGGAGGUAGGGGUGCGUGGAACUUCUGGUGGAGCGGUGAAAUGCGUUGAUAUCAGAAGGAACGCCGGUGGCGAAAGCGACGCACUGGACCUUUUCUAACGCUGAGGCGCGAAAGCUAGGGGAGCAAACGGG